GCUAAACGCGAAGAACCUUACCAACCCUUGACAUGUGUAUCGCGGUUCCAGAGAUGGUUCCUUCAGUUCGGCUGGAUACAACACAGGUGCUGCAUGGCUGUCGUCAGCUCGUGUCGUGAGAUGUUCGGUUAAGUCCGGCAACGAGCGCAACCCACACUUUCAGUUGCCAUCAUUCAGUUGGGCACUCUGGAAGAACUGCCGGUGAUAAGCCGGAGGAAGGUGUGGAUGACGUCAAGUCCUCAUGGCCCUUACGGGUUGGGCUACACACGUGCUACAAUGGUGGUGACAAUGGGUUAAUCCCCAAAAGCCAUCUCAGUUCGGAUUGGGGUCUGCAACUCGACCCCAUGAAGUCGGAAUCGCUAGUAAUCGCGUAACAGCAUGACGCGGUGAAUACGUUCCCGGGUCUUGUACACACCG
rnacentral:rRNA from 1 species